rnacentral:rRNA from 1 species
CCUACGGGUGGCAGCAGUGAGGAAUAUUGGUCAAUGGUCGGGAGACUGAACCAGCCAAGCCGCGUGAGGGAUGAAGGUACAGAGUAUCGUAAACCUCUUUUGUCAGGGAACAAAGGCGGGGACGCGUCCCCGGAUGAGUGUACCUGAAGAAAAAGCAUCGGCUAACUCCGUGCCAGCAGCCGCGGUAAUACGGAGGAUGCGAGCGUUAUCCGGAUUUAUUGGGGUUCAAGGGUGCGCAGGCGGUCUGUUAAGUCAGCGGGAAAAGCCCGGGGCCCAACCCCGGCCCGCCGUUGAAACUGGCAGUCUCGAGUUGGAGAGAAGUAUGCGGAAUGCGCGGUGUAGCGGUGAAAUGCAUAGAUAUCGAGCAGAACUCCGAUUGCGAAGGCAGCAUGCCGGCUCCACACUGACGCUGAGGCACGAAAGCGUGGGUAUCGAACAGGAUUAGAUACCCUGGUAGUC